UCCAACCAGGAGUUGUUUCAGGCUGGGCCCGAGCAACGUGACCCAGCAGGGAAAGGGAUGAGAGGGGGCGCUGGGAGAAGGCGAUUGUCCACAAGUGUACGCCAGAAUAGUGACCGCCAGCAGUAUGCAGAUGAGCUCAGGGGCACCUCCCUCUUCGGGUAGAGGAGUUGGGGCAGCUGUUUGAACAGGAGCAGCAAGAAGGAAGGAGGCUGGCUCUGGUUGCACUGGCACAGGACUGCACUCAGCUUAGUCUGGUUGGAUGACAGGCCACGAAGAACUUGGCUGCCCCAUUACUGCCCCCUCAGGACCCUUUGGG